GACCUUUGCACCUACAGAGGCCAAUUCCUAUUGAAAAAGUCACAUCGCCAGGGCUGCCCUUUAAGACCUUCCCUGCUUGACUGGAUCACAGAAACCUGCAGAAAAACAAAUUACAGCUUCCCCGUCACCUCCUGUUCCUGGGAGAGAAGGAGCCUUGGAAACAGAAAAUAAAAACAAACCUCACGGCUCCGUGUCAAGGCUUGGCCACGGCAAUGACAGCUGGGCCCAACUUGACAGAGCGACAGAGCGUGGAGGCUUAACAAAGCAAGGAACUCAGAGGGACAACCCUGGGGACUGUGGUGACUUUCCCUCACUUUGAGGUCCCUGAGAAAUAGAUGUAGAGGUUGUGGUCAGUGAAUCCUCAGCUGAUCACGUGUGCAUAAAGAGCCAAGAGAGAAGGCUGUGCGUGAGACAGCUCUGAAGGGAGAGAGCCCACCACGAGCGCAGGUGUCGCCCUGCCCAGAUGCCGCUGGCACUCCCACUUUCUGUGUGUGACUGUGAGCUCAGGUGACCUCUGCCAGGGGGCUUGCCGAUAGCCUGCAAGCAGGCCAGGCUCCCAGCCGGAGACGACAAGAGUUAGAAGAUAAUUGCUCAACUCCCUCACCCCUGAGGUGGGAGAAUCUGAGGCAGGCAUGUUGAACCCCGUGGCCUGUGGCAGGGUAACUUUCUUGAUAGUGCUUCCUUCCCAUCUCGUUU